CAAAUGUCGGUGUGCCCUCAUGAACAGAAACUAUGGCACAGUGGGUCCUGCUCAAGACUUCCUCUCAAUUAUAGGUCCUGGGGUUUUUUGUCUGAAUAUCAGGCAAAGAGGAAGGACAGCUAUGAUGGAGGAGUCUCCUGCCACCCUUCUGGUCGUCACUGUAGUGCCCAGUUGAAUGGUGUGUCCAUUGAGGUUGGAGUCCCCAUCCUGUUCUGGGUCCUGGCCCCCCACAGGCUCCAGGGAUAUAACCCUUCCAGUUCAGGAUCAUGUGCUCAGGCACUGUUUCCUGAGGCUGUAGCAGUUGCUUUUGAAGCAUGUUCCAGCUUCAACCACGUGCUUGGAUGACACCAGCUCUUCCCACAUACUCUUCCCCAGCUCCUGUGUUGAGUUUGGCUUCCACCUUCCUUCAGCUGUAGAGACAGGGUUUCUCUAUGUGGGCCAGGCUGGGCUCGAAAUCCUGGCCUCAAGUGAUCUGCCCCUCCUCGGCCUCCCAACAUGCUGGGAUUGCAGCUUCUGCCUCCUCUGUCGUAAAUUCAAGGCAGGGGGAUGCAGUGCUGCCUCUGACACACACCACAGUAGCAACUCCAGUCUUAAUCUGAGAUGAUGGCACAGACAGUGUUUCACUCUUGUUGCCAAGGAUGGAGUGCAGUGGCGCCAUCUCGGCUCCCUGCAAUCUCCGCCUCCUGGGUUCAAGUGAUUCUCCUGCCUCAGCCACCCAAGUAGCUGGGAUUACAGGCACUUGCCACCACUCCUGGCUAAUUUUUUUUUUUUUCAGUAGAGGUGGGAUUUUGGGGUUUCACCAUGUUAGCCGGGCUGGUCUUGAACUCCUGACCUCAGACAUCCACCCGCCUUGGCCUCUCAAAAUGCUGGGAUUACAGAGACCAUGCCGUUUUUUACUUUCAGCACAGUAUUCAAUAGAUUGCAUAAAAUAUUUAACACUUGCUUAUGUUGAAUGAUUUUGACCAUCUGUAGGCUAAUCGAAGUGUUUUGAGCAUGUUUAAGGUAGGCAAGGCUAAGCUAUGAUGUUUAGUAGAUGAGGUAUAUCAAAUGCAUUUUCAACCUAAAGUAAUUUCAACUAACAAUGGAUUUAUUGUGAUGUAACUUUACUGUAAGUUGAGAAGCAUAUGUGUGUUUGUAUACAGAUACCUAUAUAGAGAGAUAUCUAUAGAUAUAAAUAUAUAGACAGAAAAAUUGAUGAUAGAUAGAUAGAUAGAUAGAUAGAUAGAUAGAUAGAUAGAGAUAGAGAGUAUGAGGGAGAGAGAGAGGUCAACAGAGCAAAUCUUCUUGGUUUAGGAAAACCUGAAACAUCUUAAUAUCCCUUGGAAACGGGAUGGUGUAGUAGGCUGUUCCGGCAUCGCUAUAAAGAAAUAUCUGAGGCUGUGUAAUUUGUAAGAAAAGAGGUCUAGUUAUCUCAUGGUUCUGCUGGCUGUACAGGAAGCACAGGGCUGGCAUCAGCUUCUGGGGAGGCCUCAGAAAGCUUCCAAUCAUGGGGUAAGACAAAGGGGGAGCAGGUGUCUCACAUGGCAGGAAUGGAGAGGGUUGGGGGAGGUGCCACUGGAUUUAAACAACCAGAUCUCACAAGAAAUCAUUCACUAUUGCAAGAACAGCACCACGGAAGGAUGGUGCUAGACCAAUCAUAAGAAAUCCACCUCCACGAUCCAAUCACCUCCCACCAGGCCCCACCUCCAACACUGAGGAUUACAUUUUAACACGAGAUUUGGGAGAACGAAUAUCCAAACUAUUUUAAUUAAUAAUGCGUUAAUAAAGCCAAAUCAACUCUUAUGGGAACAUCAUUGGACACUGGUCAAGAUAUUAGGGAAGAAUGCUGAGAGAGGUGGUGGAGCGGGCACAUGGAAAGAAGCAGAGAUGAGAGCGCUCUCUACCCUCUCAGCACCAUGAGGAAAGUAGCCUUGACCUUGAUAUUCCCACAGGAACUCAUGGUGCUGAUCUUGUAAUGCCAACGUCAUCAUUUUUCUGAACAAGCCUGGGUAAGUCUACUGCCUGUAAACAAAAGAGGCGUGGCUGCAAUGAAAAUCACGCUAGGUGAAGAAUUGUGAUGCAAAUUGGCUUUUAUUUAUUAGGCCAACUUUGUAAAAGAUAAGCACAC
rnacentral:lncRNA from 1 species